CAGCAGCCACGGGAAUACGAAGGGGGCUAGCGUUGUUCGGAAUUACUGGGCGUAAAGCGCACGUAGGCGGACAUUUAAGUCAGGGGUGAAAUCCCAGAGCUCAACUCUGGAACUGCCUUUGAUACUGGGUAUCUUGAGUAUGGAAGAGGUGAGUGGAAUUCCGAGUGUAGAGGUGAAAUACGUAGAUAUUCGGAGGAACACCAGUGGCGAAGGCGGCUCACUGGUCCAUUACUGACGCUGAGGUGCGAAAGCGUGGGGAGCAAACAGGAUUAGAUACCCCGGUAGUCCCUGUCUCUUAUAC
rnacentral:rRNA from 1 species